AACGAACGCUGGCGGCAUGCCUAACACAUGCAAGUCGAACGAGAUCCUUCGGGGUCUAGUGGCGCACGGGUGCGUAACGCGUGGGAAUCUGCCCUUAGGUUCGGAAUAACAGUUAGAAAUGACUGCUAAUACCGGAUGAUGACGUUAAGUCCAAAGAUUUAUCGCCUGAGGAUGAGCCCGCGUAGGAUUAGCUAGUUGGUGUGGUAAAGGCGCACCAAGGCGACGAUCCUUAGCUGGUCUGAGAGGAUGAUCAGCCACACUGGGACUGAGACACGGCCCAGACUCCUACGGGAGGCAGCAGUGGGGGAUAUUGGAAAAUGGGGGCAAGGCUGAUCCAGCAAGGCCGCGUGAGUGAUGAAGGCCUUAGGGUUGUAAAGCUCUUUUACCCGAGAUGAUAAUGACAGUAUCGGGAGAAUAAGCCCCGGCUAACUCCGUG
rnacentral:rRNA from 1 species